CAACUUUCGACAACGGAUCUCUUGGCUCUCGCAUCGAUGAAGAACGCAGCGAAAUGCGAUAAGUAAUGUGAAUUGCAGAAUUCAGUGAAUCAUCGAAUCUUUGAACGCACCUUGCGCCCUUUGGUAUUCCGAGGGGCAUGCCUGUUUGAG
rnacentral:rRNA from 1 species